rnacentral:rRNA from 1 species
GGCCUACCAAGACAAUGAUGCAUAGCCGAGUUGAGAGACUGAUCGGCCACAUUGGGACUGAGACACGGCCCAAACUCCUACGGGAGGCUGCAGUAGGGAAUCUUCCACAAUGGGCGAAAGCCUGAUGGAGCAACGCCGCGUGUGUGAUGAAGGCUUUCGGGUCGUAAAGCACUGUUGUAUGGGAAGAACAGCUAGAAUAGGAAAUGAUUUUAGUUUGACGGUACCAUACCAGAAAGGGACGGCUAAAUACGUGCCAGCAGCCGCGGUAAUACGUAUGUCCCGAGCGUUAUCCGGAUUUAUUGGGCGUAAAGCGAGCGCAGACGGUUUAUUAAGUCUGAUGUGAAAGCCCGGAGCUCAACUCCGGAAUGGCAUUGGAAACUGGUUAACUUGAGUGCAGUAGAGGUAAGUGGAACUCCAUGUGUAGCGGUGGAAUGCGUAGAUAUAUGGAAGAACACCAGUGGCGAAGGCGGCUUACUGGACUGCAACUGACGUUGAGGCUCGAAAGUGUGGGUAGCAAACAGGAUUAGAUACCCUGGUAGUCCACACCGUAAACGAUGAACACUAGGUGUUAGGAGGUUUCCGCC